rnacentral:rRNA from 1 species
UUGAACGCUGGCGGUAUGCUUUACACAUGCAAGUCGAACGGCAGCACGGGGCAACCUGGUGGCGAGUGGCGAACGGGUGAGUAACAUAUCGGAACAUAUCCGGAAGUGGGGGAUAACGUAGCGAAAGUUACGCUAAUACCGCAUAUGCCCUGAGGGGGAAAGGGGGGGAUCGCAAGACCUCUCGCUUUCGGAGUGGCCGAUAUCAGAUUAGCUAGUUGGUGAGGUAAAGGCUCACCAAGGCGACGAUCUGUAGCUGGUCUGAGAGGACGACCAGCCACACUGGAACUGAGACACGGUCCAGACUCCUACGGGAGGCAGCAGUGGGGAAUUUUGGACAGUGGGCGAAAGCCUGAUCCAGCCAUGCCGCGUGCAGGAUGAAGGCCUUCGGGUUGUAAACUGCUUUUGUACGGAACGAAAAGACUCCUUCUAAUAAAGGGGGUCCAUGACGGUACCGUAAGAAUAAGCACCGGCUAACUACGU